rnacentral:rRNA from 1 species
CGAACGCUGGCGGCGCGCCUAACACAUGCAAGUCGAACGAGCGAGAGAGAGCUUGCUUUCUCAAGCGAGUGGCGAACGGGUGAGUAACGCGUGAGGAACCUGCCUCAAAGAGGGGGACAACAGUUGGAAACGACUGCUAAUACCGCAUAAGCCCACGACCCGGCAUCGGGUAGAGGGAAAAGGAGCAAUCCGCUUUGAGAUGGCCUCGCGUCCGAUUAGCUGGUUGGUGAGGUAACGGCCCACCAAGGCGACGAUCGGUAGCCGGACUGAGAGGUUGAACGGCCACAUUGGGACUGAGACACGGCCCAGACUCCUACGGGAGGCAGCAGUGGGGAAUGUUGCACAAUGGGGGAAACCCUGAUGCAGCGACGCCGCGUGGAGGAAGAAGGUCUUCGGAUUGUAAACUCCUGUUGUUGAGGAAGAUAAUGACGGUACUCAACAAGGAAGUGACGGCUAACUACGUGCCAGCAGCCGCGGUAAAACGUAGGUCACAAGCGUUGUCCGGAAUUACUGGGUGUAAAGGGAGCGCAGGCGGGAAGGCAAGUUGGAAGUGAAAUCCAUGGGCUCAACCCAUGAACUGCUUUCAAAACUGCUUUUCUUGAGUAGUGCAGAGGUAGGCGGAAUUCCCGGUGUAGCGGUGGAAUGCGUAGAUAUCGGGAGGAACACCAGUGGCGAAGGCGGCCUACUGGGCACCAACUGACGCUGAGGCUCGAAAGUGUGGGUAGCAAACAGG